UUUAAAAUCUUCACACAAUUGUUUCUAGGUCUAUAUUUUGGGGCAGUCUUGUAAGCAAUAUAUUCAUAAGUUAUCUUCUUUUCACUGGACUCAAUCUGAGCUAUUUGUGUAAGCUCGUAUCUAACUAUUGACCGAUUCAUUAGUUGUAUUAAUACUGAACCUUGUACCAAGCAGAAAUAUUUGAAAACUUGGGAAAAGGACAUGACUCUAAUUUGUUAUUAGUGAGGACUUGAGAGAGCUACACCUUUGUUUAGUGUCUUUCAUGGUGAAUGAUACUCUAUAAAAUAUCAAUCUCUUAUGCCCCAAAUUUGAGGGUAGUUAACUACAAGGGUUUUCAGUGAUACUAUACCUGUCGGGUGCCAAUUAGAAGCACUCAGAUCUACACCAUCGUAGUAGUUUAAUCAUAUAUAGUUAUUGUAGUUUAAUCAUAUAUAGAUAUUGUAGUUUAAUCAUGAUGCUGGUGGCUGUAUCCUGGACCUCCUUUAUUUCUUUUUGCUUACCUCUGCAGGUUCCUUCUUUUGUUUUGAUGGGUAUCCCACAUGGUACCUUCUGGUCUUCUCUUUCACAAGUCGGUGAUGCCUGCUCAAGAACGGAUAUGACCGCUAUACAUGAGAUCCUAGAGAAUAUCGGCUAUAAAGACGAUGGAAUGACAAAUGAGGUUCUUUAUUUUGUUUAAUUAAUGGAGAACUAUCUAAUAAGUUGUGUUUUGUAUAUAUAUAUAUUUAGCCUUCUCAAUAUUUACGUUCCACUGCAGUGCUCGUUCAAAUGUGGACUGACCAAAUGCAGGAAUGAUAAGAUUCAAAGAAAAUGGGGGAUUCUGCUUUUAAGCACUAGGACAUCAGAACCACAAUUGAGUGUUAUUCACAGGUUCUUAUUAUGAUACUUGUGGGAAAUUCUGAGUAGAGGUUUGAUAAGAGUUGCGCUCAUACCGAUAUCCGAAUUUGGCCUUCAAGAGGAUGUUCUUUAUCUGACCUGUUAAAAUAAAUUACCAAACACAGCUUCGUACAGAAUUUUUGUUUGGCAUUAGAUUUCCGGUCAGAACACUAUCAUUACAUUUUAUCUUCUGAUUCAUGAUAGGAAGAAUUGAAGAAAUGAAAUUGUUAGUUUAAGGUAUUUUUAAUCAGUCAGGAACGGCGUAUGUUGCGAAAAUUGGUAGUUUAAGGUACCUUAGAGUACCUGAACCUAGUAACUCUACUUGCAUGACCAAUAAAAAGAACAAAACUGAAAGAAAAGAAAAAUUAGUAAAUCCUUUUUAACUGCUGCUUUCUCUGCAUUUGUUAUCGUUGCUAACAGUUCUAUUUCACUUGCAGGUCAUUGGAGUUUGAACAAUGGUUUCUCCAACAAUUUUUGACCGGCGUAGUUUGUCUUAUCUCAUGAGUGACAACCCUCAGGAAGCUAUAAAAGAUGCAAUGCAAGCACGAGUAGUUUCCCCAGUUUGGCACAUUGCAUGUUAGGCUGUUGCCCUUUCGGCCCUUGGAAUGGUACUAUGCUUGAAUCCAAAAUGAGCAAAGCAGCUGGAUAGAAGUGAAACUCUAGGCCGCUCGACCAGGUUCCUAGCUUGCCACUUCUCUCGGUUUGGCUCUCAGCUUAUAUAGCCGUCGAUCGAUCAUAAGGUUUAAAACCACUAGAGCCAAAGCUUCAUCAUUUCCACGGUAUUAGAUUUUGUCAUUUUCCAGCAGUAUAUAUUGUAUUUGAAUUGUUUGUUUGAUUUGAUUUUCCGUGCGUCAAAUGAUUCGAGUAUAUGAAUUACUUUGACAAAAUAGAAAGAAAAAAUAGAAAGUUGUAAAAAAACACUGGUAGGGAGGAUGUCAUUCAUAAGCUUGUACUUUGUGUGCAGAAAGCAUAUAGGAUUCCUGGUGUAUCAUUUCUGAUUAAUAAUAAUAAUAAUUAGUUGUUAAACGUCGUCUGAUCAUUGAUAGACAUAUGUACAAGACUGCAACCAAUCCAUUGAACUAAAAUUUACGACGAACAAAACAAUCACAUGUAGUCCAGAAUUAACUGAAUAUCUUUAGUUCAUAUCAUGAAUCAAAACAUAUACUGCAGAAAGGUCUUGAUAAAGUAAACAUAAACAUAAACUUCUUACAAACAAUUAACACUUACAAAUCAUCUGUCAAGUAGAUUUAGUAGUAAAGUUCUUUAUUAUGACAACUCAAUACUUUGAAAACUUGUACAGAUAAUGGUUCGUGGAAGCUCUUUCAGUGAAGUGAGGCCGUCUACACUGUCUCAGAAGAUGCUGUAGAUAAAAAUAAACAAGCACAUGUAGUUAGGUUUUUAAGAAGACAGUGAAAUUAAUCCGAAUGACUUUACGAAUAGAUGCAUGCUUAUUGCUUAAUUUAAGAAGGACAAAUAAAAUCACAUUUACAUACCAUUGCUUAAUUGAAGUGCUGCUUGAUUGAAAUCACCGUCACAUAAAACCAAUCAUUCAAGACAUUCAAGAACCUGAAGUACGAGUAUCUCCAUGACCUCACAAAAAUCAGACUGCCACAAACUCCCCAAAAUCCAACAAUAAAGCCAAGCACCAUGCUGAUGUAAAAUUCCCAUGUUAUAGGCUCAUCCUCCUCUUCUUCGUUGCUCGAGAUUGGAGUUUCCUGUUGAUCACCACACAUCUUUGGAAGUGGAGGUCCGCACAACUGAGGAUUUCCAGCAUAAUCAGAGGGAUCAAAACUUUGGAGCUGAGUGCCAGUUGGAAUUUUGCCAAUAAAGUUGUUGUAUGACAAGUUCAAGACACCAAGACCAUAUAUCUGAGCAAGGCUUGUUGGAAUUCUGCCAUCUAUCUGGUUUCUUGACAAAUCAAGGGCAUCCAAUGAUUGCAACUUUCCAAUCUUUGCAGGUAACUCACCUGUCAAAUCGUUUCUCGACAGGUUUAAAGAAACUAACCCAACAAGAUCCGUGAUUUCACUUGGAAUCUCCCCCGUUAAUCUAUUGCUAGAGAAAUCAAUUCUCUUCACAAGUCCCAAAGUGUUUUUGUACGAGUACAUUCUUCCCUUCCAUAUAAAUGUUGCAUCAUCCAUAUAACUAACCCAAUAGGAAGUAUCAUCUCUUCUGUACCAAUGUCCAAUGGUCGGAGAAGAGUUUCCCUUCUGUGCCAAAACAGUAAAAUUGCUGAGGCAUUUUGGUAUUGUUCCAGAGAUGUUAUUCGCAGACACAUCCAAGUUUUGAAUGUUUGUUAGACGGCAUAGUUCAGAUGGCAUGCUUCCGUUGAAGUUAUUAGAGGAAAGCAUCAGGACAACCAAUUUCUGAAGGCUAACCCCUAACCAUUUUGGAAUGGGUCCUGAUAAUUGAUUGUACCCAACAUCAAGAACUUUUAAACUGGUGCAAUUCUUGAAGGAUGAAGGAAACUCGCCAACAAAUCUGUUGCUUCUUAAUUUCAAUGUUUCCAUGCGAUAUAGUGAGCCCACCGUGGAUGGAAUUUUGCCGGAAAAAGCAUUGUAACUCAAAUCAAGCAUGACUAGAUGGUCAAAAUGUGUCCAGCAUUGUGGAAGUUCUCCGGAGAGAUUGUUGUUUGAGAGAUUAAGAAACAUUAAACUCUCGUAUGCUUCACACAAGAUAGAAAUUGACCCUGAAAUGUUGUUAUUAGAGAGAUCCAAAGAUGACGCAUGCGAUAGAGUUGAGGGAAUUGGACCUUCGAUUUGGUUCGAACUCAAAUGUAUUUCAGGAUAAUAUGUAAAAUUCAUUGUCGAACUUGCAAACAUUUCUCCAAUUUGAUUAUUGGAAAGACUGAUAAAUCUCGCGUAACGAGUCGUACCCCAAAACCAGCUUGGAAGGAUAUCCACAAUUCCAGCAUCAGAAAUAUCGAGGGCUGAAUACUCAUUCUGAGUUUGAAGCCAUUUUGGAAAAUACGGACCCAUUUUGCAAGAUCCCAAAUAUAUAAACUUCAAUUUAAAUGGAGGAACCCAAUUAGAAUUGAAGCUUAAAACUAGCGAGUUAGAGGACAAAUACAAAUACCGUAAUUUGGAGAGUUGAGAGAAAUGGGUUUCCGAAACCACACCUUCCAGAUCAUUCAUACCCAAGUACAUAUACUCCAGAUUAGACAGUUGCCCAAUACUUUCAGGUAUUGUUCCACUCAAUUGAUUUCCAUCGAGAUAUAAUUCCUCCAGAUUAGACAGUUGCCCAAUGCUUUCAGGUAUUGUUCCACUCAAUUGAUUUCCAUAGAGAUCUAAUUCCUCCAGAUUAGACAGUUGCCCAAUGCUUUCAGGUAUUGUUCCACUCAAUUGAUUCCUAUAGAGAAAUAAUACUUUCAACGAUGAAAAGUUUGUAAGAUUAGGAAUUGAUCCAGAAAUAUGAUUGUAAGAGAGGGACAGAGACUCUAAUGAGUUUUGAACACAUGUAGACAACAUUUGAACAAACUCGGAAAACUGUCCACUCAGACUAUUAUUGACAAGGUACAGUGAUUGCAAACUGCAUAAGCUGGAAAAAGAAUGCGGAUUCACCGCGUCAAAUUUGUUAUAAGAGAGAGAUAGAUAGACAAGAGAGGUCAAGUUUUCAAUGACGCUGGGAAUUAAACCAGUUAAACUGCUGUUAUCGAGGCGAAGAAAGACAAGGCUAGCAUUGUAGUUUGACAACCAUAAAUAUAUUGAAGGAGAAGUGCAUUGGCUGUCAGAGAGUUCAACAUGAGCAAGAGAUUUUGAAGAAUUUAUGUUAAAAAGAGUACUGGAAUGGAUUACAGGAGAAGGAAGGCUACACUCCAGUAACGUCAAGUUUGUAAGUUUAGGGAGCUUACUAACUAUUUCCAGCCAGUCAUGAGCAUUACUGAGAUUGGUGCUACUCAGAUCCAAAUAUGUUAAAGAAGAAAGAUGAGGGAGCCAUGAUUUCAGAUUUUCUACACUGUUAAAGUCAUUCCCACUGAGAUCAAGAUAUUGCAAGUGGGUAAGGUUUCCAACUUGACUUGGAAAUCGACCACCAUAAGAAGCAUAAGAGAGAUCGAGUUGAGUAACAUGGUUGGUUCGGUUGCUGCAGUGGACGCGGACCCAUUUGCAACAAUCUUGCUUGUGUUCUUCUCUUCCCCACGAAGAGAGGAGAUUGUAGGGAUCCACGAGGCCGUGCUUGAAAGCAAGGAGUGCUUCUCUUUCCCUCUCAAAGCACCUCACCACUCCUUCCGAAGAAAUAUUUUUGAAUCCAAGGGAAAAGGAAGGGUUGACAGCACAUUGCAGUAAAGUGAACACCACAAUUAGAGCACGAAAGAGUUUCAUCAAGCACCUGAUUCUGUCACCCUCCAUCUUAAUUCAACUAAAUCAACCAAGAGACAAUUGAAGCACGAAAGAGUUUCUUUAGGAUUUUGAUUUUGGAGCAAAAGGAAAGCUGCGCAAGUGUAGUUCAAAAUGAACGGAGAAAAGUAUAAAUAAAAUAUCCAAUAAUUGUGAAGAAAAAAAACUCUUUCGUUGAAAGGUGGGCCUUCUGCAAGCACCUGAUUCUGUCACCCUCCAUCUUAAUUUUGUCACCCUCAAACACUAAAGCAAGGUAGGCCUUCAAGUACCAAGCAGAGGCAAAGCAAUAUACGAUCAAAAGAUAGUCACAUCUUUAUUCAGGAAUUAAAGUUGCCAUAAUUCAAGUGGGAAUGCAUUGACUUAAAUUAGUAAUUUAAAGUCUUGGUUCUUGGAAUUAUUCGUGUCAAAAGUUUAGGGUAGAUUGGUUACUGAUCACCAGCUUCAGAACAUACCCACAAUCUCAAGCUAGAAGGACUUAAGCGUGGCACCUAACUGUCAGCUGCUAUCAGUAUGGAUUUACAUAGGAAUUUACCAAUCGAGCACCAACGAGGACUGCUGGCAAUGAGACUCGAACCUUGGUAGGGCGAGACACAAAGCAGAGACCUUACAAACUGAGCCAACCCCUGUUGGGUCCUUGGAAUUAUAAGUUCAUAACACUAUAUUUGUUUUCACAGUUUUUAUUCGUUUUAAAUGUUGUUUGUCUUGGCCAUUUGGCAUGUGUGUGAUUUUCGUCCUAAUUUUUCAUGCUCAAAACUCUAUUUGGAAUUAUAAGUGCAGGACACAAUUAAACAACGCCACAAAGAGGCCACGCUCAAAACUCAAAAAAAAGAUAAUUAUUCAGAGAUGAUGCACAACUUAAGAGGCCCCUUGCUAAUCUUGGUCACAGUUGUACAUGAUUGAGGAUAGUUAGUAGCUUGGUCUUCAAUUGUCAUGUACAACAAGACCGUAAUACUGAAUGACAAAACUUUAUUUUAAGUGAAAUGUCUCUUUUAUAAGUGAAGAAAAAUACAACUAAAUCAUAGUACUAAAUAACAAAACUAUAUUUUCAUUAGAAAGUUUUCAAGAUAUGCGAUCUUAUAUAGCCUUUCUAUAUAGAAUGGUGUUUUUUUUUUCCUUCAAAAUAUAGUGCGCAAAAUGUCGACAUUGAGACAAGAAUAAUGUCAAAGAAAACAUUUCAUUGAAGAAGUACCAAGUCUUAUAAAUAACAGUUAAAAAAAUGAUUCUUACAAAUAACAAUUCAAAAAAAAGUUUCUUACAAUUAACAGUACAAGGUCCUAACCCAGCCUUCAAAGGAUAAUAAAAAGAGUUUCAAAAUUUUGAAUAAAAAUAAUUUAAUAAUUUUAGUUAAUUAAGACCAAAAAUAUUAACAAAAACACAAAUUAGUUUUCUUCUCUUUCUUCUCUCUCCCCCCUUUCGCUCUUCGGAUGAGGAUUCUCUCCUCCUUUUUUCCCAUCCACUCCCAUCCUCUUCCUGAUUGUGUGAUUACGAUUAAGUUACGUGAACAUUUUAUAUUGAUUUUUUUUAUAAAGAUAAUAAGAUAAAAAGACGUGAUUUAACCGUGACCACACAAACAGAGAAAUGAUGGAAGUGGAUGAGAAAAAAGGAGAGAAUCCUCCUCCUUCGUCUUCAGUCUUCACCACCUCUUUUCUUUUUCACCCAUCCCCUCUAUCCACCCGUGCCUCAUCUAUUUCUUCCUGGAUAAUAAAAAGAGUUUCAAAAUUUUGAAUCUUAAUUAAAAAUAAUUUAAUAAUUUUAGUCAUUAAUUAAGACCAAAAAUAUUAUAAAAAUAUUAACAAAAACACAAAUUAGUUUUCUUCUCUUUCUUCUCUCUCCCCCUUUCGCUCUUCGGAUGAGGAUUCUCUCCUCCUUUUUUCCCAUCCACUUCCAUCAUCUUCCUGAUUGUGUGAUCACGAUUAAGUCACGUCAAUAUUUUAUUUUAUAUAGAUAAUAAGAUAAAAAGACGUGGCUUAACCGUGACCACACAAACAGAAGAAUGAUGGAAGUGGAUGAGAAAAAAAGAGGAGAGAAUCCUCCUCCUUCGUCUUCAGUCUUCACCACCUCUUUUCAUUUUCACCCAUCCCCUCUAUCCACUGCCUCAUCUAUUUCUUCCUAGAUAAUAAAAAGAGUUUCAAAAUUUUGAAUCUUAACUAAAAAUAAUUUAAUAAUUUUAGUCAAUAAUUAAGACCAAAAAUAUUAUAAAAAUAUUAACAAAAACACAAAUUAGUUUUCUUCUCUUUCUUCUCUCUCCCCCCCCCCUUUCGCUCUUCGGAUGAGGAUUAUCACGAUUAAGUCACGUCAACAAUUUAUAUUGAUUUUUUAAUAGAGAUAAUAAGAUAAAAAGAUAUGACUUAACCGUGACCACACAAACAGAGAAAUGAUGGAAGUGGAUGAGAAAAAAGGAGGAGAGAAUCCUCCUCCUUCGUCUUCAGUCUUCACCACCUCUUUUCUUUGGACUUGGAUUCUCUGCCCUCCCAUUUCGGUGUCCUCCCCGUGCCCUCCUGUUUUGUAUGAUCACGGUUAAUCCAUGCUAACAUUUUAUAUUGUUUUUUAUAAAAAUAAUAAGACAAAAAAAAAAUAGUAAUAUAAAAUAUUGACGUAGCUUAACCGUGACCACACAAACAGGAGGGCAUGGGGAGGACACCGAAUUGGGAGGGCAGAGAAUCCAAGUCCCUUUUCUUUUUCACCCAUCCCCUCUAUCCACCCGUGCCUCAUCUAUUUCUUCCUGUCUCUCUCAUCCAUCACUUUCUCUCACCUCUCACUAACACAAAAAGCCAAGUCCCCACAUCUUAUCUUGUUAUAUUAUUAUUCUUUUAAACUCUCCCCUCACUUCCUUUUCACCCUUCACAACCUCUAUAUAUCGUAAUUAUUUUUUAUGAAUUUUUUUGUGAUUUGUGUACAAAAAGCAUAUACGAUUAUCAAUGUAUUAUUUUUUAUGAAAUAAAUAAUAGUUAGUUUAUUAAACGUCAUGGCAUCGUUAUUAGACAUAGAUAUAAGUUACUACUUGGAUUAAAAUAAUAAUUAGUUUAUUAUACGAUUCAUUCAAAGGAUACCACCCAAGAUGAAGUUGAGUAACAUGGUUGGUUCGGUUGCUGCAGUGGACGCCGACCCAUUUGCAACAAUCUUGCUUAUGUUCUUCUCUUCCCCACGAAGAGAGGAGAUCGUAGGGAUCCACGAGGCCGUGCUUGAAAGCAAGGAGUGCUUCUCUUUCCCUCUCAAAGCACCUCACCACUCCUUCCAAAGAAAUAUUUUUGAAUCCAAGCGAAAGGGAAGGGUUGACAACACAUUGCAGUAAAGUGAACACCACAAUUAAAGCACGAAAGAGUUUCUUCAAGCACCUGAUUCUGUCACCCUCCAUCUUAAUUCAACUAAAUCAACCAAGAGACAAUUGAAGCACGAAAGAGUUUCUUUAGGAUUUUGAUUUUGGAGCAAAAGGAAAGCUGCGCAAGUGUAGUUCAAAAUGAACGGAGAAAAGUAUAAAUAAAAUAUCCAAUAAUUGUGAAAAAUAUUUAUACAAGAAAGAUUAUAUUCAAACACCCUAAAUUACUGUUUUCUCAUUUUUUUUAAUUUUUUAAUAUUUUCUACACACCACUAUCAUUUGAUAAAAAAAUAUUAAAAAAUUAAAAGACACUAGUUGAUACUUAAUUUCCCACCUUCUCCUUAAUUUAAGGCACUAGUUGAUACUUUAUUUCCCACCUUCUCCUUGAUUUAAGGCCUUUGUUUCGCACUUGUUGAUGCUUUAUUUCUCACCUUCUGUUUCCCACUUGUUCAUACUUUGUUUCCCACCUUCUGUGACUUUAUGGUACAACAGUACGUAAUGAUGAAUAGUAAAGAAUAAAUGGACAAGAUUGAAAAUAGACUAUUCAAUACUUGUGGAAAUUUUUGUACAAUAAAAUAACCAAUGAUUCUCCUUCUCCAAUGUAUUUGUCAUUUCAUCUUAAACACGCACAAUCAAAAGUGGGGCUACAAGUAGCUAUCAGAGGCAAUACAAUAGGUGAUCAAAACAUAGGCAUAUCUUUGUACAAGCAUUAAAGUUUCCACUAUUAAAGUGGGAAUUGCAGAAAAUCAUGAAAAGAUCACUGUAGCCCUUCGUCCGAAAACCUCCGCCUUGUAGAUGUGGGGAGCGGUGUGGGUCUUCCGGGUUUGAUCUUAGCCAUUGCUUGCCCAGGUAAGUAACUACUGUGCAUAUUUGGCACAUUUGAACAGGAGGAAGUUAGGAAUGCAGAAAAAGCAAUUCAGAUUUUGGGUGCUUCCGUGUUGAACAAUGCGCAGGCAUGUCAUAUCUCUAUUUGAAAACUUAACAAACCUAUCAUGUAUAUGGGGGAGAGAGAGAGAGAGAGAGCUAAAAAUGUUUACUGAUGUAACCUCUGUUUGUAUCCAGUGGAAUCGCACAGCCCAUACGGACAUGUAUCCAGGAAAACAUGUAACCUCUGUUCGUGUCUAGCCAGCCUUUACCAGUGCUUGUUUCAUGUGACACACUUUAUGAUAUUCCAUUACCAUCCAAAGCAUAACUUAUUUUGUCAUCCAUUUUAUUUGAAUGAAUUACGAAACGUAAAUAAAACCGAAUGUAUACUUCAUACAUCUAUUUUCACGUGACAAGAAAGACAAUUAUACAGAGUUCUAUCUAAUUUCAUGUAACUUAUAUAUAUACUCGAUUUUAUGUAAAUUUUAACUCAAUAUACACCCAAUUUUAUGUAAGUUAAGAUGAUAAUUAUGGCCUUGCAGUUUAAUCUGUCAUAAAACACCCAUAUUUCCACCAGCGUUCAUGCAUUAGGCAAUAAAGUUACUUAUUAACCAAUAAAAGAAGAAAAAGAAAAAGGGGUUCGUGAGAGGCAGGAGCUGCUAUACCUGCAACAGGGAAAAAAGUGUUUUUUAUUCCCUUGAAACCUGUUGAUCUCUCAACUCUGCGUAUCAUCAUUACAUUGUGAAAGUGGGUUGACACCGCCCUUGUUGCAAAAAUAGUAUAAACAAUCGAACAUUAGGCUGACAACAGAACAUGCACAUUGCACACACUUUUGUUCUUGGUAUAAAUUGUGUAGGGAUGCCCAACAAUUCAUAAGACAACACACCCACAGCCGGAAGUUGGUCUCUACAAUGUUUAAUCCAUUGCAGAUAUAAAUCAAUAGAUUCUGGUCCCUUUUUGAUAUUCUGUAAAUCAAUUUUCAUUUGACCAAUACUGGUUCUUGUCAUAUUAGAGAAUCUUUCUUUGAGAUCAGUCCACAUUUCUCUAGAAGUUUGACAACCAAUAACAGAGGAUACAGCAUCAGUUGAUAAUGUGUCAGUGAUAAGAGUCAUUAAAGCUUUGUCAUGAAUCUUCCAAACCUUAAAAGCAUCAGCAAUCACUGGUGGAUUUUCAACAGUCUCAUUUGCAAAAUCAGACUCUACAUAUUUGUUUGGACAAGGUAUGGAACCAGUAACAAACCCAAGAAUUCCAUAUCCAUCUAACAAGAGUUCCAUUUGAAAAUUCCAUGUAACAUAAUUGGAAUCAUCAAGUUUUACAGUCACAGUGUUUCCAACACUGGGAAUCAACGAAGAGAUCGAUGACUGAGUAAGAGCUAACUGAGCAACAAUAACCAUUUUUAUAUGAACACACCAAAUCAACUAGAAAUUCUAGCAACAGACAAAAUCAUCAACUUUGCAAGAAUCAACACAUCGACAAUCGAAGAUGAACAAAUCAACAAUCAACAAUAAUACACCACAAAUCCAUCAAAUAGCAACAUGAUCUCCACCAAAGAAAGCAAGAAUCAAAGAAUGAAUCAAGAAUCAACUUUCAUUAUGCUUGCGCUCUCGUCAUUGUUGCCCUUAUUAAAUACAUUUUUAAAUUUUAAGAAUUGUUAUUAGCAUUUCAAAAUUUUCAUUAUGCACUCCAAACUUUUUAUAUUUAGAAAAAGAAAAUACACUUGUGAGUAGGGGUGCAACUCGGGGGACUUGAGCGGGUUAGAUGGUCAACUCAAUCCUAACCCAACAUUCCUAAUUCGGGUUUGGGUUCAUGGGGUUUUACUCAAGUUCGGGUUUAAGUUGGGUUCAGGCUUACUUGGGUUUGUCCAAUUUUACCAAAUUCAAUCUUCUAACACAUUUUUUUAUAAGAUAAAUCUCAAAUUUUGAACCAAAUAACGCGAAACUAUUUAAAAUUCAAUUUUACACAUCACCAUCCAUAAAAAGAAUAAACCAAAUAGUGUGGAACACAUUUCAAAAGUUUCAACCACACAAAGUUGAAAUUAAAUGGCAAGACAAUACCAACGUUUUAACCAAAAGUAAAGUAAAAGCAACAUUAUUGUUCAUUGUUCAAAUGAAAAGCAACAACAAACUCAAGUAUGGCCUCCAAAACUCGUAUCUAGCUUAUAUAAUAUGAAGUAGGACGGGUAAUACGUGCAUGAGCAAUUUGAGCUAGAAAUCAGAUUGGAUUUGGCUUGAAGCAAACAUCAACCCAACCCAACCCAAUAGGGUAGGUUUGAAAAACCGAAAACCGAAAAAUAAUCAAACUGAACACCGAACCGGAUUAAAAAAAAUCAAACCGAACUGGAUUAUAUUGGCUCGGUUUCGAUUUCAAUAGUUCGAAAACCGAACUAAACCGAAUUGAACCGAAUUCUAAACCCAUUUAAACGAGUUUUAUGAUACUUAACUAACCCUUACUAACUAAUACAUUACAUUGUGUACAUGUGCAAUUAGUUUAAGGAUUUGUUAUUGUUUUUUAUUGCCAACUGCUUAAGAUGAAAUGGAUUUUGGCAGGAGCCAAUUGCUUAACAAAUACACGGUAUGAAAUGGAUUCUAUGUUAAUUUCCCAUUGCAUAUAAUUAUUAGAAUUUAGUUUUUGCAUUACAAUUAUUUGAGGUCAGUGCCUUAUAUGACCAUGCAUUUUAAUUAUGUUUGGUUAUCCAUGUUAGCUUAGCUUGAUACAAUUAUUAGUAUCAUUUUUAUUUUUUUUUUGGAAAGUGGGAUCCAAAAGGAUCGCCAUCAAGGAGUUUUUAUUAAAACAAACACAAACUUAGAAACAAAACAAAUGCCUAAAUUAUUCCGAGAAACAAACAAAGAACAGGCCUAAAAACAAAGGAAACGCAUAAAAUGAGCUCAACAACAGUGAAGCCCAAACAAAAACGAACAUCCAAUAAACAUCCAUUGUGCUCUCCACCGCCAAUCUGAGAAGUAGUCAGUCAUCCAAUCCUCCAUACACCGCUGAUCAUCACCUCCACAGGCACCACCUGCACAUAGCCAUCAACAAGAGAUAGUCGGCGAGAGAGAAGCCAACCAUCGGAAAGAAGCUCUAAGAAAAUCUCGAGCAACAUUGCUGCGAACGGCAGACAACAAGGAGAACGUGGUGAUGUGGGAAACACCCGAGCCGGAUACAACACCAAAACUCUACACACGAACUCUACAGAAACCAUGGCUGAAAAACAAAGCACGGAAGGGCCAUGAAAGGGGAUACCUAUGGGGGUUGAGGGAUGGGAAAAGCCAGAAAGGAAAAGGAGAAGAACCAUCAGCAGAUGGAAGGGGAGAAGAAAGAAAAACAAAAGCAGAAAAACUAGAGGAAAAGGUAAAAGACCAUCAGCAGAUGGAAGGGGAGAAGAAAGAAAAAACAAAUACAAAAAACCACCACUGAUCUCAGCUACAGCUAGGAUCAGUGGCACCAAACGGAAGCACGAUCGGGAAAUCACUCACACAAUAUGGUGAGAAGCACCUUCAAACAAAGGGAAGAACUCUCACAAGGAGAGAAAAGAGGAAAGUUUCCCGGGUUAUCUCCGUUUUGGUUUUGGCAUUCCUCCACGCUCAUCCAUUAUUAGUUUCAUUUUUGGUACUGGAAUGUAUGCGUCUUCCCAUAUUUUUGGUAAUGGAAUAAACAUGCAUCUUCCCUCCCUUCGAAGUUUCAACAAUGCAUGCAUUAGUGAUAUAGUGUACCAUGCAACGGUGUUAGUACUUAUUGAGAAAAAAAAAUAUACAUACAUAUACAUAUAUAUAUAUAUACACACACAUACAGUGGCGGAUCCAGGAAAUAAUGUUUGGGGGGUCAACAAGGAUAGCGCGCGCAGCGCGAAGUUUUUUUUUAACAGAAACGGCAUGCAUAUCGUCAUUUCAUCGGGUCUUGGUAGGAUAGCGUGAUCAGCCUCUCGCCGAUAGUUACCAUACUGAAAGGUGCCUUCACUUUCCCUGACAACAAAAAAUAAACAUAAAAUUGGGUUGGAUGGUUCAUAAUAAACAUAAAAUUCUGAUGUCAAUAUGGUGGUUCAUAAUAAUAUUUUUUAGAGAUCAUAUUAAUUUAUGUUGAAUAUAAAGAGAAAUAAAGUUGUUAAAUAUGUGGAUGUGGAAAGGGCACACACAUCAUUACCAUUAAUUUAUGUCAAAUAUGUGGAUGUGGACGCAUGGGAACUUUGCAAUCUGCACCAAGACUUAAUGGUGACAUCUUCAACUUGACACACGAACCGAACUGACAGCCCAUGGCUUUUUACACAAAGCAAGCAAUUUGAUGCUAGCUGUACAAAUUUGAUUGGAGAGAAACUAAGAAAAAAAAUUAAAUAAGAAGAGUGUGUGGUCACGUGGUGUGAAAGGAAGAGAGAGAACGUCUUCGUCUUCCUCUUCCGCCAAACCGAACGAAAACCAGAAGAAACCCAGAAAAAUGCAGCAGCUCCAAGAGGUCGCACCAGCAACUUUAAGGGAUCGCACCAGCAGCUCCAAGGGACCUCUAAGGUUAUUUCCAUGGCUUCCAAGGGGUCGUGCCACCCCAUUGACCCCACUGUGGCUCCGCCUCUGCACACAUAUACACACACACACACACACACAUAUAUAUAUAUAUAUAUAUAUAUAUAUAGAGAGAGAGAGAGAGAGAGAGAGAGAGAGAGAGAGAGAGAGAGAGAGAGAGAGAGAGAGAGAGAGAGAGGUAUUCAUCAAUUCCCCCUUGAACUUGUGAUCAUUGGCUAAUUCUCCCCCUCAACUUUAAUUUUGGCCAAUUUCCCCUCUCAACUCUCAUAAUUAGUCAAUUUCCCCCCUCAACUUUAAUUUGGCCAAUUUCCCCCUCAACUCUCAUAAUUAGUCAAUUUGCACCCUACUGUUAAUUUUUUUUUUAAUUUUCCAUCUAUUCUUUUUUUUUCUUUCAAUCUUUCUAAUAACUUCCAACAAAGUACUAAAAUUAACAUAAACUCACGAGCAUAAUAUAGGGUAAAAUGUACAAAAACAUAAUACAAUUAGUAUGUGAUAUGGGUUGAUUAUAAGAAAAUGUUAUGAAUCAGGUUUAAAGCAUGUAGAAGAAGAAAUAAUAAUCCUAAACUCAUGGAUCAGACCUAUUUCAAUAAAAUGGGUUAUUCUUAAUAAGGAGUCGAAAAUUAUGAAUUGACUAGCCUUUUUUGCACUAAAGCUCGAUUCUCCGCAAUUUACUUGAACUUAGUUUUCACUUUUGUAAAGAAAAUUGUAUUCACAUACAAAAAUGUACACAUCAAUCCUUUUCGUUAUCAAUUUUGUAUAGUAAAAAAUCAAAUAAAAUUACUUCAUACUGAUUUAUUAUGACUAAUAAUACUAUCUAUGAUAAAUUGUAAAAUUCUAAAUUUUAAUCUAUUUGUAAUAGGAUAAAGACAUAGCAAAAUGAUUAACAUACAUCUUAUUUAGUUUCUUACACACACUUGUUUAAUUAUGAUCAAAUUAAAAAAUUAACAGUAGGGUGCAAAUUGACUAAUUAUGGGAGUUGAUGGGGGAAAUUGACCAAAUUAAAGUUGAGGGGGGAAAUUGACUAAUUAUGAGAGUUGAGGGGGGAAAUUGGCUAAAAUUAAAGUUGAGGGAGAAAAUUGGCCAAUAGUUCAGGGGGGAAAUUGAUGAAUACCUCAUAUAUAUAUAUAUAUAUAUAUAUAUAUAUAUAUAUAUAUAUAUCGAACCGAAUUUGAACCAAACUUACAAAAAUCGAAUCGAAGUCAAACUGAACCGAAAAAAACUAAAAGAAAAAUCGAACCGAAUCGAAUCGAAUAGUAACUUUGGUUUGAUUUUCGGUUUAGACAAAAAACCGAACAAAAAGGUACCGAACCCCCCCUCCUACAACCCAAUAAAUAAUCAGGUUGAGGUCAGUUUGGGUUUUGGCUGGUUUUUCCUUUAUUCUAACCCUCUCGAUCGAGUUUGAAAUCAGGUUGGGCAUGAGCGGAUUCGGGUUGACCCAACUCAUGUUGCACUCCCAUUGUGAGGAGUGCAAGAUGAAAUUUUUGGAGUGCUAAUAACAAUUCUCAAAUUUUUUAUGACAAACUUAAGAUGAAAAUACAUUAAGGAUCAAAAUGAAGCAACUCAAAAACUUUUGGCACAAAAUCGAAAAUGGUUUGAAGAGCCACUUGAUAGAAUAAUUGAUAGUCAUAAUAAAACUAUGUAAUAUUUUGAUGUGGCAACACACUUUUUCUUUUCGUGUGGAUUAAGGGUAAAUUCCCCUACAUGAUUUUUAUCAAGACCUCAUCUCAAAAACCCUAUCCUCAUCUCAUAAGUAUCGUACUUUUCACUAUAUAUGUAGGAAAUCUUUAAGGGAAGGGAUUCUUAUUUUUUUUUAAAUAAGAAUUAGUUGUGGGGUCUACAUUACAUCGGACUUUAGCGAUCCGAAUCGUCUAUUUUUCAAGCUGCACCUCAUAAAUCAUCCUUGCAAAAUAUUAGCCAAAUCGAAAAUGUUUAAGACAUCCAAUUGGGUUCAAAGAAAUUAAUAAAUACUUUGUUAUAUAAGAAACAAUGAAAUUUUAUCUUGAUAAUUAAAUAGACAAAUAGUUUGGAAUUGAAUUGAAUUAUGGUAAGGAUGAUCUAUGAAUCGAGAAUUACAAAACAGACGGUUGGAACGUUGAAGUUCGAUGAGGAGUGAGCCCCACACCUAAUCCCUAUUUUUUUUUUUAAAGGGAAAGUUUUUGCAUAAAUGGUUUGUAUAUAUAUAAUACCUUUUAGCAAAACAAAUUAUCAAAUGAAAAAUGAAUAAUUUGGUUUUCAGCCGCAAAAUAAAAUCAUGAACAACCAAUUUUAAUUUAAAAAAUAAAAAAAUAAUUUUUUUCCCACUUCUUUUCAUAUAUUAUACUAGAAAAAGCCUUGAGAAAUAUACUUUUUAUAUUUUUAAAUAUUUUUUUUAUGAGAGGAAAAAGAGAGAAGGAGAGAGAAUGAGUUUACAUAGCAUUGAUAAAGUAACAUAGCUGUGAGGUUUGAAAAAAGAAAGUAAAAAUUUGUUUGUACAAAAUUACUUUAACGCUCACAUUGUUUUUUUUUAAUUUUUUUUUUCAGUUUUGUAUUAAAAAGUAUAUUAGUAAUUUUAUUAGUAAUUUUUUUUCAAUUUUGUAAAAAUAUAAUUUUUCGUUAAAAUAAACAGUACUGUGGGUUUUCCGUUAAACUCCCUUUAGAUUUCUCAAAAACAUUUGUGUUUGAAUCUGGUAAAUUAUAAAAUAAAGAAAAACCUAUUUUGCUCCCAAUGCCAUCUUCUACUUUCUUCCCCUCCCAACAAUGAAAAACCCUCAAAAACCAAAAGGCUGGUGAGGAGGACGACCAUGGUGGCCACUGCAUUGCUGCCUACUUCCUCUUUACUGCUGAUUACGGCCCCGAGCCCAACGCUCUCGAUCCUGUAAGUUCCUGUUUCUUCCCGCAAUUUCAUCUUCAGAAAUCAAACUUUGAUCUUGUUACAAAAAGGGUAGCGAGAAAAUCAAAACUUAAUCUCUUGGUUCACAAUUUAAUUUCUCAGACUUGCAAUUCGAGCUCACAAAUUUUGGGGUCUUUCCAUUUCGUGUUCGAUUUACAAUUGUUAGUUGUAGAAUGAAUGUGGGUUGUGUAACUGGACUAGUUUGGUAUACUUUGUUUUCGCUUUUCAACGAUUUUGUUCAUGUCUUUUUAGCAAAAUGAUAAUGCGAGUGAGGUUUUGGUUAGUUUUCUCUGCUUGUGUAGUUACCACUCUGUAAUUACAAAUGUUUUGGUAUUUGAUUGUCUACGACGAAGCCAAGGUUGCGAUUGUAAAAAGCUGUAGAAAAUGUGAUUUAGGAAUGCUCUUGGACUGCAAUUCUGUAGAUUGUUGAGCACUUUCUUUUUUCUUCCCUGAAUGUAGAGAGGAGCAUUUUUAAUGAGUUAGGAACGACGUAUUUUGCCAAAAUUGGUAGUUUAAGGUACUUAAAGUACCUGAACCUAGUAACUCUACUUGCAUGACCAAUAACAAGAACAAAACUGAAAAAAAAAACUUGGUAAAUCCUUGAUUGCUGUUUUAUCUGCAUUUGUUAUCGUCGCUUACAGUUUUCUUUCGCUUGCAGUUCAUUGAUGCUGAAACGAUGGUUUCUCCAACAAUUUUUGCCCGUCGUAGUUUGUCUUAUCUCAUGAGUGACAAGCCUCAGGAACCUCUCAACGAUGCAAUGCAAGCACAAGUAGUUUCCCCAGUUUGGCACCUUGUAUCUUAUCUUCAGGGUGCUGCCCUUUCGGCCAUUCAGAUGCUGACAGAUUCUUGCUUGGAAGGACAACUUUCUAAUGAUGAUGGUACUGAGUUGGCACGGUUGGCUUCACAAAGUUUACAAUCUGAACCCUGAGAGCGACCAAAUCCAAAGUCAUUAGUUGCUUCUUUGACUCCUCUUCAGAAAGAGACUGAGGUUAGUUCUCUCCUCUGUUUCUCUAAUUAAGCAUUAUAUUCCCAACUUUACCUGGGGAGCAUAGUUUAACUGUUUAAAAUCUUCACACAAUUGUUUCUAGGUCUAUAUUUUGGGGCAGUCUUGUAAGCAAUAUAUUCAUAUGUUAUCUUCUUUUCACUGGACUCAAUCUGAGCUAUUUGUGUAAGCUCGUAUCUAACUAUUGACCGAUUCAUUAGUUGUAUUAAUACUGAACCUUGUACCAAGCAGAAAUAUUUGAAAACUUGGGAAAAGGACAUGACUUUAAUUUGUUAUUAGUGAGGACUUGAGAGAGCUACACCUUUGUUUAGUGCCUUUCAUGGUGAAUGAUACUCUAUAAAAUAUCAAUCUCUUAUGCCCCAAAUUUGAGGGUAGUUAACUACAAGGGUUUUCAGUGAUACCAUACCUGUUGGGUGCCAAUUAGAAGCACUCUGAUCUACACCAUCGUAGUAGUUUAAUCAUAUAUAGAUAUAGUAGUUUAAUCAUAUAUAGAUGCUUAACAUGAUGCUGGUAGCUGUAUCCUGGACCUCCUUUAUUUCUUUUUGCUUACCUCUGCAGGUUCCUUCUUUUGUUUUGAUGGGUAUCCCACAUGGUACCUUCUGGUCUUCUCUUUCACAACUCGGUGAUGCCUGCUCAAGAAGGGAUUUGACCACUAUACAUGAGAUCCUAGAGAAUAUCGGCUAUAAAGACGAUGGAAUGACAAAUGAGGUUCUUUAUUUUGUUUAAUUAAUGAAGAACUAGCUAAUAAGUUGUGUUGUGUAUAUAUAUAUAUAUAUAGCCUUCUCAAUAGUUACGUUCCACUGCAGUGCUCGUUCAAAUGUGGACUGACCAAAUGCAGGAAUCAUAAGAUUCAAAGAAAAGGGGGGAUUCUGCUUUUAAGCACUAGGACAUCAGAAUCACAAUUGAGUGUCAUUCACAGGUUCUUAUUAUGAUACUUGUGGGAAAUUCUGAGUAGAGGUUUGAUAAGAGUUGCGUUCAUACCGAUCUCCGAAUUUGGCCUUCAAGAGGAUGUUCUUUAUCUGACCUGUUAAAAUAAAUUACCAAACACAGCUUUGUACGGAAUUUUUGUUUGGCAUUAGAUUUCCGUCAGAACACUAUCGUUACAUUUUAUCUUCUGAUUCAUGAUAGGAAGAAUUGAAGAAAUGAAAUUGGUAGUUUAAGAUAUUUUUAAUCAGUCAGGAACGGUGUACAACAACAACAACAACAACAAAGCCUUUUCCCACUAAGUGGGGUCGGCUAUAUGAAUCCUAGAACGCCAUUGCGCUUGGUUUUGUGUCAUGUCCUCCGUUAGAUCCAAGUACUCUUAAGUCUUUUCUUAUAGUCUCUUCCAAAGUUUUCCUAGGUCUUCCUCUACCCCGGAGCGUCAGUAGGCCUUCUUUGCACAUGUCCAAAUCACCGGAACCGAUUUUCUCUCAUCUUUCCUUCAAUUUCGGCUACUCCUACUUUACCUCGGAUAUCCUCAUUCCCAAUCUUAUCCUUUCUCGUGUGCCCACACAUCCCACGAAGCAUCCUCAUCUCCGCUACACCCAUUUUGUGUACGUGUUGAUGCUUCACCGCCCAACAUUCUAUGCCAUAUAACAUCGCUGGCCUUAUUGCCGUUCUAUAAAAAUUUCCCUUGAGCUUCAGUGGCCUACGACGGUCACACAACACGCCGGAUGCAUUCUUACACUUCAUCCAUCCAGCUUGUAUUCUAUGGUUGAGAUCUCCAUCUAAUUCUCCGUUCUCUUGCAAGAUAGAUCCUAGGUAGCGAAAACGGUCGCUUUUUGUGAUCUUCGCUAGAUUGCUACGGUCAUUAGUGUGGAUAAGUAUAUAAAUGGAUAGAGAUAGAAAAGCAAACACAAGAUGUACGUGGUUCACCCAGAUUGGCUACGUCCACGGAAUAGAGGAGUUCUCAUUAAUUGUAAAGGGUUUACACAAGUACAUAGGUUCAAGCUCUCCUUUAGUGAGUACAAGUGAAUGAUUUAGUACAAAUGACAUUAGGAAAUAUUGUGGGAGAAUGAUCUCGUAAUCACGAAACUUCUAAGUAUCGGAGUGUGGUAUCGUCUUGACUUGCCUUAUCUGUCUCAUAGGUAGAUGUGACAUCUUCUCUGGAAGUACUCUUCCUCCAUCCAGGGGUGGUAUCUUUAACUGGUGGAGAUGCACAAGGUAAUGUAUCAAUUUCACUUGAAGCUUACUUGUAGUUUCAGGCUUGGUCAAGCGCGAUACAAACCAUGUAGUAGGAGUCCCCCGAGUCGCCGAGCUAGGGGAUCUGCUGAAAGAGGUGACAGACAAGGUAAGCAAUCAGAACUCCGGCUGAUUGUUCACAUUCUCCCUAUCUUGCAGGCAGCAUGAAGGAUAAAGAGAAGAAAAAUGAGAAGAAAUGAUAUGAGAUACUUUUGCUUUUGAAGAAGUAACUUUCCACAGGCUUAUUCUUGAACUGAGCUGGAGGGUUUUCUGGUUUCCUCCAGAGUAUAAGGCCGAUUGAAGAAUUUGAGGGUCAAAACAAGUCCAUCAAAUCUAGAGUACGUUCGACCCUGCUGAUAUGGGAUACUUUUGCUUUUGAUAGAGUAAUGGAUGUAUCGGCACGUGUGCUGUUACGCUUGUCUCCACAUGCUUCCUUGUAUCCUUCUCACUUGCCCUAUAUGUUCCUCAGGCAGAUGCGGUAUCUUCCCUGGGAGCAUAAGAUGUUGAAGAUGAGUACUCGAGAUGAAUGCCAGGUAAGUAAUCAGGUAAGGGGUUCCAGGCAGUCAGUUCCUAGCUGGAAGCUUGAUUCUAAGUGUUGACUGAUUGCUCUCUUUCUCCUUGUCUUGCAGGUAAGAACAAGGCCAAAGGAAAAGACAGGGAAAAAGCAUGAUAUGGGAUACUCUUGCUUUUAACCCUGAUGAUAUGAGAUAUUCUUGCUCUAGUAUAGCUUGUUUGCAGAGGUAUUAUCGGGGGAAAAGAAAGCUGAAUAUUUCGAAAGGCUUCGUUGGGAGUGCCCUCUCAGAUAUGAGUAAGGGUUGAGCAUUUUUGCAGGUCUGCCUGUCCGUUGGGGAUGAAGGUCGACAUAUAUAGGAGUCUCCCUAACAACAAGUAGUAAUGCUAUUCCUUUACCCUGCUUGGUCAUAGCACGGUAGUUGGAGCUGCCAGCUUCACAUGUUUUAACUCUGUCAGAGCACUUUGAAAAAGUGGUCUGUGGUAUCUGGAAAACUGAUGUUGCGUGUGAAGAUUACAGACAAGCUUUAUCCAAGGAGACCCGGCUCUUGAAGUUGGGAAAAUGGUGCCUCUUCGGUUUUCGAACAAGCAAUCCUAUCGGGGAUCUGGCUCUUGAGAUUCGGAGAACGAUGCCUCUUUGAUUUUUGAGAAAGCAAUCAUGCUGGGGGUCUGGCUCUCGAGAUUCAGAGAGCGGUGUCUCUUCGAUUUUUGAGAAAGUAAUCAUGUUGGGAGUCUGGCUCUCGAGAUUCGGAGGACGGUACCUCUUCGAUUUUGGAGCAAGCAAUCUUGUUGGGAGUGUUUUCUCGAACAUGAGUAAAGGUUGGGCAUGUUUGCUAGUCUACCUUGCCACGAAGCACAGAGGUUGACACACAGGGACUUUCCAAUUAUCCAGCAAUGGUACUGUUCCUUUACCCUCUCUUCGAUUUUUUAGAAAGUAGUCAUGUUGGGAGCCUGGUUCUCGAGAUUCGGAGGACGGUGCCUCUUCGAUUUUGGAGCAAGCAAUCUUGUAAUCUUGUUGGGAGUGUUUUCUCGAAUGUGAGUAAAGGUUGGGCAUGUUUGCUAGUGUACCUUGCCACGAAGCACAGAGGUUGACACACAAGGACUUUCCAAUUAUCCAGCAGUGGUACUGUUCCUUUACCCUUGUGGGUAAUAAUAUGGUAGCUAGACCUUCAAAAUUUAUGUGUUUAAACUUUGUUAGUGCUGUUUCUUUGCUAUUCGUUUACCCUUCUUGGUCAGAGCGAUGUAGUGGGAGCUGCAAGCUUCACGUGCUUAACUUUGGCAGAGAACUUUGGCAAAGUUAUCUGUGGUACCCAUAAGCUACUGUUGCGUGUGAGAAGUGGGUGAUUGAACAGAGAUUCAUGUGCUUUCUACUUCACCAGAAGUCUUCGACAGAAUGCCCAUAAUUUCCGCAAAGCUGAGUGUGCGUGGGACAGGUGCUGACAAGGCUGGAAAAGUAGGUGCCUCUUCGAUUUCUGAGAUCGGCCCUUAUGGUCUCUGAGCAGCCCAGCUAUUGAGAACGCAAGUGCCUCUUCGAUUUCUGAGAUCGGCCUUCGUGGUCUUUGAGCAGCCCAGCUUUUGAGAAAGCAAACGCCUCUUCGAUUUCUGAGAUCAACCCUCGUGGUCUCUGAGCAGCCCAGCUUUUGAGAAAGCAAACGCCUCUUCGAUUUCUGAGAUCAACCCUCGUGGUCUCUAAGCAGCCCAGCUUUUGAGAAAGCAAAUGCCUCUUCGAUUUUUUAGCAGGCGCCUCUUCGAUUUCUGAAGCUCCGUCGAGUGCAGAUUUUUAUAGGGGCUGGCAUUAAGUUCCAAAGCACACUUGAAUCUCCACCAGUAGAAGCUCCAUUUUUGCACUUCUAAGAUCUUGAUUUGUCCGACCUCUUCUCUAUUCAACACCUUUGAAAAUGUCUGGCCCCUCCGACCGUCGUUUUGACUUGAACCUUGUUGAAGAGGCAGCCCCGCCUUCUCCAGACAACAUAUGGCGCCCAUCCUUCGUCUCCCCUACUGGUCCUCUUACCGUUGGGGAUUCCGUGAUGAAGAAUGAUAUGACCGCUGCGGUGGUGGCCAGGAACCUUCUCACUCCCAAAGAUAACAGACUACUUUCCAAACGGUCUGAUGAGUUAGCUGUUAAGGAUUCUCUGGCUCUCAGUGUUCAGUGUGCAGGUUCUGUGUCUAAUAUGGCCCAACGCCUAUUUGCUCGAACCCGUCAAGUUGAAUCAUUGGCGGCUGAAGUGAUGAGUCUCAAACAGGAGAUUAGAGGGCUCAAGCAUGAGAAUAAACAGUUGCACCGGCUCGCCCAUGACUAUGCUACAAACAUAAAGAGGAAGCUUGACCAGAUGAAGGAAUCUGAUGGUCAGGUUUUACUUGAUCAUCAGAGAUUUGUGGGUUUGUUCCAAAGGCAUUUAUUGCCUUCGUCUUCUGGGGCUGUACCGCGUAAUGAAGCUCCAAAUGACCAACCUCUGAUGCCUCCUCCUUCUAAGGUUCUGUCCGGUACUGAGGCUCCGAAUGAUCCCCCUCCGGUGCCUUCUCUUUCUGAGGCUCUACCGACUGCUGAGACUUUUCCUAAGCAACCUUUGUGAAGGCUCCCUCUUGUUUGUUUAUUUUGACUCGUGUAUAUGUACAUAUUUGUAGCUUAUCGGGGAUAUCAAUAAAUAAGCUUUCCUUCAUUUCAACAUAUUGUGUUAAAUACACCAAAGUCUUCUUCGCUAAGUUCUUUGAAUUUUCUUUUGUUGAAGCUUGUAUGUUGAAGUUUUGUGAGUGAAGCAUGUAGGUUGAGGUAGUGUUCCCUUAAUUUCCCGAGUGAGGAAAACUUCUCGGUUUGAGACUUGGAAAAUCCAAGUCACUGAGUGGGAUCGGCUAUAUGAAUCUUAGAACGCCAUUGUGCUCGGUCCUGUGUCAUGUCCUUCGUUAGAUCCAAGUACUCUAAGUCUUUUCUUAGGGUCUCUUCCAAAGUUUUCCAAGGUCUUCCUCUACCCCUUCGGCCCUGAACCUCUGUCCCAUAGUCGCAUCUUUUAAUUGGGGCGUCAGUAGGCCUUCUUUGCACAUGUCCAAACCACCGUAACCGAUUUUCUCUCAUCUUUCCUUCAAUUUCGGCUACUCCUACUUUACCCCGGAUAUCCUCAUUUCUAAUCUUAUCCUUUCUCAUGUGCCCACACAUCCAACGAAGCAUCCUCAUCUCCGCUACACCCAUUUUGUGUACGUGUUGAUACUUCACCGCCCAACAUUUUAUGCCAUACAGCAUCGCCGGCCUUAUUGCCGUCCUAUAAAAUUUUCCCUUGAGCUUCAAUGGCAUACGGCGGUCACACAACACUCCGGAUGCACUUCUCCACUUCAUCCAUCCAGCUUGUAUUCUAUGGUUGAGAUCUCUAUCUAAUUCUCCGUUCUUUUGCAAGAUAGAUCCUAGGUAACGAAAACGGUCGCUCUUUGGUAUUUCUUGAUCUCCGAUCCUCACCCUAACUCGUUUUGGCCUCCAUUCGCACUGAACUUGCACUCCAUAUAUUCUGUCUUUGAUCGGCUUAGGCGAAGACCUUUAGAUUCCAACACUUCUCUCCAAAGGUUAAGCUUUGCAUUUACCCCUUCCUGAGUUUCAUUUAUCAACACUAUAUCGUAUGCGAAAAGCAUACACCAAGGAAUAUCAUCUUGAAUAUGUCCUGUUAACUCAUCCAUUACCAACGCAAAAAGGUAAGGACUUAAGGACGAGCCUUGAUGUAAUCCUACAGUUAUGGGAAAGCUUUCGGUUUGUCCUUCAUGAGUUCUUACGGCAGUCUUUGCUCCUUCAUACAUAUCUUUUAUAGCUUGGAUAUAUGCUACUCGUACUCCUUUCUUCUCUAAAAUCCUCCAAAGAAUGUCUCUUGGGACCCUAUCAUACGCUUUUUCCAAAUCUAUAAAGACCAUGUGUAAAUCAUUUUUCCCAUCUCUAUAUCUUUCCAUCAAUCUUCGUAAGAGAUAGAUUGCCUCCAUGGUUGAGUGUCCUGGCAUGAACCCGAAUUGGUUGUCUGAAACCCGUGUCUCUUGCCUCAAUCUAUGCUCAAUGACUCUCUCCCAGAGCUUCAUUGUAUGACUCAUUAGCUUAAUACCCUUAUAGUUCAUGAAAUUUUGUACGUCGCCCUUAUUCUUGUAGAUAGGCACCAAGUCUCCAAGGUCUUCCCAAAAUUUCUCCUUCGAACUCGUAUCCAACCCUACUUGAGGUGCGUACGCACUAAUCACAUUGAUAAGUUCUUGUCCAAUUACAAUCUUGAUUGCCAUGAUUCUAUCUCCUACCCUCUUGACAUCUACAACAUCUUGUGUCAAGGUCUUGUCCACGAUGAUGCCAACACCGUUUCUCGUUCUAUUUGUGCCCGAAUACCAAAGUUUAAACCCUGAGUUUUCUAGAUCCUUUGCCUUACGACCAACCCACUUAGUUUCUUGUAGGCACAUAAUAUUUAUCCUUCUCCUCACCAUAACUUCCACUACUUCCAUAGAUUUUCCCGUUAAGGUUCCUAUAUUCCACGUUCCUAAACGCAUUUUGCUCUCUUGAACUCUACCAUUCUGUCCUAACUUCUUCACUCUCCCUCGUCUAAUAGGAUCAAAGUACUUCUUUUGUGUGUCCCUGCUUUCUCCGCAUUUGUUAUCGUUGCUAGCAGUUCUAUUUCGCUUGCAGUUCAUUGGAGUUGGAACAAUGGUUUCUCUAACAAUUUUUGACCGGCGUAGUUUGUCUUAUCUCAUGAGUGACAAGCCCCAGGAAGCUAUAAAAGAUGCAAUGCAAGCACAAGUAGUUUCCCCAGUUUGGCACAUUGCAUGUUAUCUUCAAGCUGUUGCCCUUUCGGCCCUUGGAAUGGAUGGUGAAAUUGAAGCAGGACUUAAGGAGGGUACUAUGCUUGAAUCCAAAAUGAGCAAAGCAGCUGGAUAGAAGUGAAACUCUAGGCCGCUCGACCAGGUGCCUAGCUUGCCACUUCUCUCGGUCUGGCUCUCAGCUUAUAUAGCCGUCGAUCGAUCAUAAGGUUUAAAACCACUAGAGCCAAAGCUUCAUCAUUUCCACGGUAUUAGAUUUUGUCAUUUUCCAGCAGCAUAUAUUGUAUUUGAAUUGUUUAUUUGAUUUGAUUUCCCGUGCGUCAAAUGAUUCGAGUAUAUGAAUUACUUUGACAAAAUAGAAAGAAAAAAUAGAAAGUUGUAAAAAAAAACACUGGUAGGGAGGAUGUCAUUCAUAAGCUUGUAAUUUGUGUGCAGAAAGCAUAUAGGAUUCCUGGUGUAUCAUUUCUAAUGAAAAAUAAUAGUAAUUAGUUUGUUAAACGUCGUCUGAUCAUUGAUAGACAUAUGCACAAGACUGCAACCAAUCCAUUGAACUAAAAUUUACGAUGAACAAAACAAUCAUAUGCAGUCCUGAAUUAACUGAAUAUCUUUAGUUUAUAUCAUGAAUCAAAACAUAUACUGCAGAAAGGUCUUGAUAACGUAAACACAAACAUAAACUUCUUACAAACAAUUAACACUAACAAAUCAUCUGUCAAUGAGAUUUAGUAGUAAAGUUCUUUAUUAUGACAACUCAAUACUUUGAAAACUUGUACAGAUAAUGGUCCGUGGAAGCUCUUUCAGUGAAGUGAAGCCGUCUACACUGUCUCAGAAGAUGCUGUAGAUUAAAAUAAACAAGCACAUGUAGUUAAGUUUGAAGAAGACAGUGAAAUUAAUCCGAAUGACUUUACGAAUAGAUGCAUGCAUAUUGCUUAAUUUAAGAAAGACAAAUAAAAUCACAUUUACAUACCAUUGCUUAACUGAAGUGCUGCUUGAUUGAAAUCACCCUCACAUAAAACCAAUCAUUCUAGACAUUCAAGAACCUGAAGUACGAGUAUCUCCAUGGCCUCACAAAAAUCAGACUGCCACAAACUCCCCAAAAUCCAACAACAAAGCCAAGCGCCAUGCUGACGUAAAAUCCCCAUGUUAUAGGCUCAUCCUUUUCUUCUUCGUUGCUCGAGAUCGGAGUUUCGUGUUGAUCACCACACAUCUUUGGAAGUGGAGGUCCGCACAGCUGAGGAUUUCCAGCAUAAUCAGAGGGAUCAAAACUUUGGAGCUGAGUGCCAGUUGGAAUUUUGCCAAUAAAGUUGUUGUAUGACAAGUCUAAGACACUAAGACCGUAUAUCUGAGCAAGGCUUGUUGGAAUUCUGCCAUCUAUCUGGUUUCUUGACAAAUCAAGGGCAUCCAAUGAUUGCAACUUUCCAAUCUUUGCAGGUAACUCACCUGUCAAUCCGUUUCUCGACAGGUUUAAAGAAACUAAACCAACAAGAUCCGUGAUUUCACUUGGAAUCUCCCCCGUUAAUCUAUUACUCGAGAAAUCAAUUCUCUUCACAAGUCCCAAAGUGUUUUUGUACGAGUACAUUCUUCCCUUCCAUAUAAAUGUUGCAUCAUCCAUAUAAUUAAGCGUAUAGAUAGUAUCAUCUCUUGUGUACAAAUGUCGAAGGGUCGGAGAUGAGUUUCCCUUCUGUGCCAAAACAGUAAAAUUGCUGAGGCAUUUUGGUAUUGUUCCAGAGAUGUUAUUCGCAGACACAUCCAAGUUUUGAAUGUUUGUUAGACAACAUAGUUCAGAUGGCAUGCUUCCGUUGAAGUUAUUAGAGGAAAGCAUCAGGACAACCAAUUUCUGAAGGCUAACCCCUAACCAUUUUGGAAUGGGUCCUGAUAAUUGAUUGUAUCCAACAUCAAGAACUUUUUUUAAACUGGUGCAAUUCUUGAAGGAUGAAGGAAACUCGCCAACAAAUCUGUUGCUUCUUAAUUUUAAUGUUUCCAUGCGAUAUAGUGAGCCCACCGUGGAUGGAAUUUUGCCGGAAAAAGCAUUGUAACUCAAAUCAAGCAUGACUAGAUGGUCAAAAUGUGUCCAGCAUUGCGGAAGCUCUCCGGAGAGAUUGUUGUUUGAGAGAUUAAGAAACAUUAAACUCUCGUAUGCUUCACACAAGAUAGAAAUUGACCCUGAAAUGUUGUUAUCAGAGAGAUCCAAAUAUGACGCAUGCGAUAGAGUUGAGGGAAUUGGACCUUCGAUUUGGUUCGAACUCAAAUAUAUUUGAGGGUAAUAUGUAAAAUUCAUUGUCGAACUUGCAAACAUUUCUCCAAUUUUGGUUAUUGGAAAGAACGAUAAAUCUCGCGUAACGAGUCGUACCCCAAAACCAGCUUGGAAGGAUAUCCACAAUUCCAGCAUCAGAAAUAUCGAGGAAUGAAUACUCAUUCUGAGUUUGAAGCCAUUUUGGAAAAUACGGACCCAUUUUGCAAGACCCCAAAGCUAUAGACAUCAAUUUAAAUGGAGGAACCCAAUUAGAAUUGAAGCUUAAAACUAGCGAGUUAGAGGACAAAUCCAAAACCUGUAAUCUGGAGAGUUGAGAGAAAUGGGUUUCCGAAACCACACCUUCCAGAUCAUUCGUACCUAAGUCCAUAUACUCCAGAUUAGACAGUUGCCCAAUACUUUCAGGUAUUGUUCCACUCAAUUGAUUUCUAUAGAGAGAUAAUCCUUUCAACGAUGAAAAAGUUUGUAAGAUUAGGAAUUGAUCCAGAAAGAUGAUUGUCAUAGAGGUACAGAGACUCUAAUGAGUUUUGAACACAUGUAGACAACAUUUGAACAAACUCGGAAAACUGUCCACUCAGACUAUUAUUGCCAAGGUCCAGUGAUUAAGCUGGAAAAAGAAUGCGGAUUCACCGCGUCAAAUUUGUUAUCAGAGAGAGAUAGAUAGACAAGAGAGGUCAAGUUUUCAAUGACACUGGGAAUUAAACCAGUUAAACUACUGUUAUCGAGGCCAAGAAAGACAAGGCUAGCAUUGUAGUUUGACAACCAUAAAUAUAUUGAAGGAGAAGUGCAUUGGUUGUCAGAGAGGUCAACAGAAGCAAGAGAUUUUGAAGAAUUUAUGUUAAAAAGAGUACUGGAAUGGAUUACAGGAGAAGGAAGGCCACACCCCUGUAACGUCAAGUUUGUAAGUUUAGGGAGCUUACUAACUAUUUCCAGCCAGUCAUGAGCAUUAUUGAGAUUGGUGCUACUCAGAUCCAAAUAUGUGUUAAAGAAAGAAAGAAGAGGGAGCCAUGAUUUCAGAUUUUCUACACUGUUAAAGUCAUUCCAACUGAGAUCAAGAUAUUGCAAGUGGGUAAGGUUUCCAACUUGACUUGGAAAUCGACCACCAAAAGAAGCAGAAGAGAGAUCGAGGUGUCUUAAAUUAAAAAGAGAACCAAUGAAAUAUGGAAGUCGGGUCCCAUUGAAGUUUAUCCAUGAGAGGUCCAAAUAUUUCAAACGCUGCAACUCAAUCAAUUUAGGACUCAUCUUCUUACCUUGCAAAAAAUAAUUGAUGAACUGCGGGUCUCCUUUCUGUUGAUGUGAGUAAGAUACACUCAAGGGAUACCACCCAAGAUGAAGUUGAGUAACAUGGUUGGUUCGGUUGCUGCAGUGGACGCCGACCCAUUUGCAACAAUCUUGCUUGUGUUCUUCUCUUCCCCACGAAGAGAGGAGAUUGUAGGGAUCCACGAGGCCGUGCUUGAAAGCAAGGAGUGCUUCUCUUUCCCUCUCAAAGCACCUCACCACUCCUUCCGAAGAAAUAUUUUUGAAUCCAAGGGAAAGGGAAGGGUUGACAGCACAUUGCAGUAAAGUGAACACCACAAUUAAAGCACGAAAGAGUUUCUUCAAGCACCUGAUUCUGUCACCCUCCAUCUUAAUUCAACUAAAUCAACCAAGAGACAAUUGAAGCACGAAAGAGUUUCUUUAGGAUUUUGAUUUUGGAGCAAAAGGAAAGCUGCGCAAGUGUAGUUCAAAAUGAACGGAGAAAAGUAUAAAUAAAAUAUAUCCAAUAAUUGUGAAAAAUAUUUAUACAAGAAAGAUUAUAUUCAAACAACCCAAAUUACUGCUUUUCUCACUUUUUUAAUUUUUUAAUAUUUUCUACACACCAUUAUAAUUUGAUAGAAAAAUAUUAAAAAAUUAAAAGACACUAGUUGAUACUUAAUUUAAGGCACUAGUUGAUACUUUAUUUCCCACCUCCUUAAUUUAAGGCACUAGUUGAUACUUUAUUUCCCACCUUCUCCUUGAUUUAAGGCCUUUGUUUCGCACUUGUUGAUGCUUUAUUUCUCACCUUCUGUUUCCCACUUGUUCAUACUUUGUUUCCCCAACUUCUACGUAAUGAUGAAUAGUAAAGAAUAAAUGGACAAGAUUGAAAAUAGACUAUUCAAUACUUGUGGAAAUCUUUAUACAAUAAAAUAACCAAUGGUUCUCCUUCUCCAAUGCAUUUGUCAUUUCAUCUCAAACACGCACAAUCAAAAGUGGGGCUACAAGUAGCUAUAAGAGGCAAUACAAUUGGUGACCAAAACAUAGGCAUAUCUUUGUACGAGCAUUAAAGUUUCCACUAUUAAAGUGGGAAUUGCAGAAAAUCAUGAAAAGAUCACUGUAGCCCUUCGUCCGAAAACCUCCGCCUUGUAGAUGUGGGGAGCGGUGCGGGUCUUCCGGGUUUGAUCUUAGCCAUUGCUUGCCCAGGUAAGUAAAGACUGUGCAUAUUUGGUACAUAUGAACAGGAGGAAAUUAGGAAUGCAGAAAAAGCAAUUCAGAUUUUGCGUGCCUCAGCCUCCAAGGCUCGCCUUGGCGAGUUUUCACCCAAUCCCAUUAGGCAAAAGCGUUAUCACUCCCGCCCUACCUCCAAAACCAAAGAUCAAAAGUUCACAGUAUUUCGUGUCUAGCUAGCCUUUACCAGUGCUUGUUUCAUGUGACACACUUUGUGAUAUUCCAUUACCAUCCAAAGCAUAACUUAUUUUGUCAUCCAUUUUAUUUGAAUGAAUUGCGAAACGUAAAUAAAACCGAAUGUAUACUUCAUACAUCUAUUUUUACGUGACAAGAGAGAUAAUUAUACAGAAUUCUAUCUAAUUUCAUGUAACUUAAAUAUAUACUCGAUUUUAUGUAAAUUUUAACUCAAUAUACACCCCAUUUUAUGUAAGUUAAGAUGAUAAUUAUGGCCUAGCAGUUUAAUCUGUCAUAAAACACCCAUAUUUUCACCAGCGUUAAUGCAUUAGGCAAUAAAGUUAGUUAUUAACCAAUAAAAGAAGAAAAAGAAAAAGGGGUUCGUGAGAGGCAGGAGCUGCUAUACCUGCAACAGGGAAAAAAGUGUUUUUUAUUCCCUUGAAACCUGUUGAUCUCUCAACUCUGCGUAUCAUCAUUACAUUGUGGAAGUGGGUUGACACCGCCCUUGUUGCAAAAAUAGUAUAAACAAUCGAACAUUAGGCUGACAACAGAGCAUGCACAUUGCACACACUUUUGUUCUCGGUAUAAAUUGUGUAGGGAUGCCCAACAAUUCAUAAGACAACACACCCACAGCAGGAAGUUGGUCUCUACAAUGUUUAAUCCGUUGCAGAUAUAAAUCAAUAGAUUCUUGUCCCUUUUUGAUAUUCUGUAAAUCAAUUUUCAUUUGAACAAUACUGGUUCUUGUCAUAUUAGAGAAUCUUUCUUUGAGAUUAGUCCACAUUUCUCUAGAAGUUUGACAACCAAUAACAGAGAGGAUAGAGCAUCAGUUGAUAAUGUGUUAGUGAUAAGAGUCAUUAAAGCUUUGUCAUGAAUCUUCCAAACCUUAAAAGCAUCAGCAAUCACUGGUAGAUUUUCAACAGUCUCAUCUGCAGAAUCAGACUCUACAUAUUUUGUUUGGACAAGGUAUGGAACCAGUAACAAACCCAAGAAUUCCGUAUCCAUCUAACAAGAGUUCCAUUUGAAAAUUCCAUGUAACAUAAUUGGAAUCAUCAAGUUUUACAGUAAUAAUGUUGAAUCAUCAAGUUUUACAGUCAUAGUGUUUCCAACACUGGGAAUCAACGAAGAGAUCGAUGAUUGAGUAAGAGCUAACUGAGCAACAAUAACCAUUUUUAUAUGAACACACCAAAUCAACUAGAAAUUCUAGCAACAGACAAAAUCAUCAACUUUGCAAGAAUCAACACAUCGACAAUCGAAGAUGAACAAAUCAAGAAUCAACAGUAAUACACCACAAAUCCGUCAAAUAGCAACACGAUCUUCACCAAAGAAAGCAAGAAUCAAAGAAUGAAUCACUGACUUACAGAAAACCCCAAAGAAAUUAAGGGUUACCGACUUUGUGCACUGACGUUAGCUUUAACGAGUGAACAACAGCAACGAGCGAUAGAGACACCAACGAGAAAUGCUAGCGGAAGCACAAGGAUCGUCGUCAAUCGAUAAGAGUUACCUGUCGUCGGCUAAUGAGUUCAUAUUAUUGUUUGGAGCAUAAAGUAAUCAAACGGUAGAAUUUUUGAGUGAUUCCAAUUGGAGUGGGUUCGUGAGUCAGUCAAGAAGGUUGUGUCAAAAUUUCAUAAAUCCCAAAGCAUCUGAUCGUGGCGAAUUAAUUUAUGGCCAGCACGCAAUGCUGGCAGAUUGGGCUACAGAGCUUGUUUGCAAGUUUUGGGCUCGAAGAUGCUGGAUUUUGGAGGGUUGUUCUUGGAACUUGAAGAGGAGGUCCUGAUCUUUAAUUUGACUCGUUUUGGAGCCCUGAAGGUCCAGAAACGUGGCUUCUUUUUUGAUAGACAAAUUUCCUUGUCAUAAUAGGAAUGUAAUUUUUAGUUAUCCUUUUAUUAUUUUAUUUCCUAGUUUUUAGAAAACAUUUUCCUUUGAGGGUUUUAAUUAGGAGUAGUAUAAAUAAGGCUUUUUAGCCAUUGGGAGAGACACAACAUUGGAGAGGGAAACGCACACACUACUCUAGAGAGUUUUUGAAGUUUAUUUUCAAGGUGUUAUCUAUCCAUGUUUUUAAUACUAUUUUAUUUUAUGAUUGUUAAUAACUAAUUUUCGUUUGCUAAGGUGAUGCCAAGUCUUAGCAUGAAUAUGUAGUUUUUAUUUAAUUGCUUAUGAUAUUAUACAUGCAUACUUUGAAUUAUUAAUCACUGUGUUUUAAACUGUCUUUGUAUCUUAAUGAUUCGCGACCAUUAAGAUGUGAUAAGUAAUUGGAUGCAAUUCGGUCGGAAUGCCACCAGAGGAUUGAGUAUUGCAUUUUGUGAUUAAUAGUUGUAAGUUUACCUAGGGCGAAUGCCACGUCUUAGGGGUUGCAUGAUUUUUCAAAGAGUUUUCACAAAGCAUAAUGAGUCAUGCAUAUUUAUAUUUGAUCUGAAUGGCACAGACAUAUUGCAUGUUUGAUAUAGGUUCUAGCUUGAAUGUCACAAGUAAAAUAUGCACAAGGAAAACUUAAUCUUCAAAGUUGCAUGGGUAAUUCAUAAGUAAUUGAUAAAUCUACAUAUGAUUAUUAAGGGGACGGCGGAACCCUAUCCCUUUUAUAAUUUGGUUUUCAAAACUAUUUUCUUUUGUUUCUUUACUUUGCCAAUUUCUUUAAUUGUUUUUAAUUAAAUUCGUUUUUAAUAUUUUAGGUCAUAAAAUCAACAUUUUCCGGUCUUUGUUUUCAAAUAAUUAGCUAAGAAUUAGUUUAAAUACAAAUUAUUCAUUCAAUCAUUUCGGAAAACGAUUUUACUUGGGCUGCUAUACUACGACUACCUUAUACUCUUGCAAGUAUUUUUAUCCCUACUUUUGCAGAUGAUAAAAAUCUCUAUCAUCGGCGAAGAUACCAUGUUAACAAAACUUACAGAGAUUUAGAGAGGGAAAACAACUUUUCAAUAUUUCACUGUAUUAACUUCAGAAUUGUUACAAUACACGUGUCACAUGGCACACAUCUAAUACAUAACAUUUGGCAUAAUCCUAAGCUAACCUCUAUGGUCUAACAGUUUUAACUUUUAAAUUGCACAGAAGGAUAGAUGCUUGAACUUAUAUAAUAGUACAAUGUUAGAGAGACAAAAUUGAUAAGGAUUUUUAUUACAAAUGGUCCAAUCGAAAUGGUUUUUGAAUUAAAAAAAUCAAUUAAUGCCAUCUCUAAAUAUUAGUGUCACAAAUCAAUAUUGUCAUUAUGUUUAGAUUUCGUUAAAAUUUCUGUUAAGAUGUUUAUGUGGCACACAUGUGAGCCCACCACAUAUAACAUGACCCACGUGUAAUUUGCCAAAAAUUGUUUACAAAUUUAAACAUAUUUCAAAACAAAAAUAAAUAAAUAAAUAAAGUAAAAAAAAAAAAGAAAAAGAAAGAAAAACUCAUCGUCAUCCUCAUUCCUCCCAAAAAAAGGACGAAUCAUCAUCAUCAUCAUGUUCCAUGACUCCUUGGAUACCAACCUUCAGCCCAGAAAAUGGAGAAACCCCAGCCGCAUCUUCCUCUCCUACCCCGCCCCCAUCAGCCGCAUCCCUCAUCCCCCAACCUCCACCUCUCACCAAAACGUGAUUCCCAAAUCCACAUCGACUCGCCUCCAUUUCGACCGGCUACCCCGCCCCAAGCUCUCCUUCGCUCCAUUUUUUUUAUAAGAAAACUAAUGAAAAGGGCUUGAAAACUUUGAGUUUUAAUGAUAAGGAUAAAAUAAAGGGUAAAAUAAAUAGUACCAGGAUUGACUUUUUAGUGUAAAAAUGUGGUUUUUCGUUAAAGUGAACAGUACCAAGUGUUUUUUGUUAAAGUUCUUUUUUUUUUAUAAUCCAUGUGGCACCUGACUAUUGAACAUAUUGGGUCCACAUGUGUGCCACAUAGGCAUACUAACAUAAAUUGACGACACUGAUUAAUUUUCUAAUUCAAUGACAUCCUGACUGAGUGGGUUAAUUUCAUAGGAAUUGGAUCCCCUCCUGAGCAAAUGGUGGGGAUCUUCAUGACCCACUAAUAGAGACCGUUGGAUACAAUUAUUAUAACUUUAGAUGGACCCCCUGUUUGUAGCUCCAACGGUCUAUAUUAUACUAGCAAAAGCCCUGAGAAAUAUACUUUAUAUAUAUUUUUAACUAUUUGUUUUUAGUAUUUUUAAGAGAGGAAAAAGAGAGAACGAGCGAGAGUGAGUUUACCGGGUAUUGAUAAAGUAACAUAACUGUAAGAUUUUAAAAAAAAAGGUAAAACUUUGUUUGUACAAAAUUACUUUAACGCUCACAUUGUUUUUUUUCUAAUGUUUUUUUUUUCAGUUUUGUAUUAAAAGAUAUGGUAGUAAUUUUAUUAAUUUUUUUUUGUUAUAAAUAAUAUUUUAUUAAUAGAUAGUUUAGAUUUCUCAAAGUUUGAAUCUGGUAAAUUUGCCAUCUUCUACUUUCUUCCCCUCCCAACAAUGAAAAACCCUAAAAAACCGAAAGGCUGGUGAGGAGGACGACCAUGGUGGCCGCUGCAUUGCUGCUUGCUUCCUCUUUACUGCUGAUUACGGCCCUGAGCCCAACGCUCUCGAUCCUGUAAGUUCCUGUUUCUUCCCACAAUUUCAUCUUCAUCAGAAAUCAAACUUUGAUCUUGUUACAAAAAGGGCAGCGAGAAAAUCAAAACUUAAUCUCUUGGUUCACAAUUUAAUUUCUCAGAUCUGCAAUUCGAGCUCACAAAUUUUGGGGUCUUUCCAUUUCGUGUUCGAUUUACAAUUGUUAGCUGUAGAAUGAAUGUGGGUUGUGUAACUGGACUAGUUUGGUAUACUUUACUUUCGCUUUUCAACGAUUUUGUUCAUGUCUUUUUAGCAAAAUGCUAAUGCGAGUGAGGUUUUGGUUAGUUUUCUCUGCUUGUGUAGUUACCACUCUGUAAUUACAAAUGUUUUGGUAUUUGAUUGUUUACGACGAAGCCAAGGUUGCGAUUGUAAAAAGCUGCAGAAAAUGUGAUUGAGGAAUGCUCUUGGACUGCUAUACUGUGUAGAUUGUUGAGCACUUUCUUUUUUCUUCCCUGAAUGUAGAGAGGAGCAUUUUUAAUCAGUUAGGAAAGACGUAUUUUGCGAAAAUUGGUAGUUUAAGGUACCUUAAAGUACCUGAACCUAGUAACUCUACUUGCAUGACCAAUAACAAGAACAAAACUGAAAAGAAAAAAAAACUUGGUAAAUCCUUGAUUGCUGUUUUAUCUGCAUUUGUUAUCGUCGCUUACAGUUUUCUUUCGCUUGCAGUUCAUUGAUGCUGAAACAAUGGUUUCUCCAACAAUUUUUGCCCAUCGUAGUUUAUCUUAUCUCAUGAGUGACAAGCCUCAGGAACCUCUCAACGAUGCAAUGCAAGCACAAGUAGUUUCCCCAGUUUGGCACAUUGUAUCUUAUCUUCAGGGUGCUGCCCUUUUGGCCAUUCAGAUGCUGACAGAUUCUUGCUUGGAAGGACAGCUUUCUAAUGAUGAUGGUACCAAGUUGGCACGGUUGGCUUCACAAAGUUUACAAUCUGAACCCUGAGAGCGACCAAAUCUAAAGUCAUUAGUUGCUUCUUUGAUUCCUCUUCAGAAAGAGACUGAGGUUAGUUCUCUCCUCUGUUUCUCUAAUUAAGCAUUAUAUUCCCAACUUUACCCGGGGAGCAUAGUUUAACUGUUUAAAAUCUUCACACAAUUGUUUCUAGAUCUAUAUUUUGGGGCAGUCUUGUAAGCAAUAUAUUCAUAUGUUAUCUUCUUUUCACUGGACUCAAUCUGAGCUAUUUGUGUAACCUCGUAUCUAACUAUCAACCGAUUCAUACUGAACCUUGUACCAAGCAGAAAUAUUUGAAAACUUGAGAAAAGGACAUGACUCUAAUUUGUUAUUAGUGAGGACUUGGGAGAGCUACGCCUUUGUUUAGUGUCUUUCAUGGUGAAUGAUACUCUAUAAAAUAUCAAUCUCUUAUGCCCCAAAUUUGAGGGUAGUUAACUACAAGGGUUUUCAGUGAUACUAUACCUGUUGGGUGCCAAUUAGAAGCACUCAGAUCUACACCAUUGUGGUAGUUUAAUCAUAUAUAGAUAUUGUAGUUUAAUCAUAUAUAGAUGCUUAACAUGAUGCUGGUGGCUGUAUCCUGGACCUCCUUUAUUUCUUUUUGCUUACCUCUGCAAGUUCCUUCUUUUGUUUUGAUGGGUAUCCCACAUGGUACCUUCUGGUCUUCUCUUCCACAAGUCGGUGAUGCCUGCUCAAGAAGGGAUAUGACCGCUAUACAUGAGAUCCUAGAGAAUAUCGGCUAUAAAGACGAUGGAAUGACAAAUGAGGGUCUUUAUUUUGUUUAAUUAAUGGAGAACUAGCUAAUAAGUUGUGUUUUGUGUGUAUAUAUAUAUAUAUAUAUAUAUAU
rnacentral:lncRNA from 1 species